rnacentral:rRNA from 1 species
AUUGAACGCUGGCGGCAUGGAUUAGGCAUGCAAGUCGAACGAGAAGCUCUAGCUUGCUAGAGUAGAAAGUGGCGAAAGGGUGAGUAACACGUGAGUAAUCUGCCUCUAACUCGGGGAUAGCCUCUGGAAACGGAGAUUAAUACCGGAUGUGAUGAUUGAAUCGCAUGAUUCUUUCAUUAAAAUUUUUGGUUGGAGAUGGGCUCGCGUCCCAUUAGCUAGUUGGUAAGGUAACGGCUUACCAAGGCAACGACGGGUAGGUGGUCUGAGAGGAUGGUCACCCACACUGGAACUGAGACACUGUCCAGACUCCUACGGGAGGCUGCAGUCGAGAAUCUUCCGCAAUGGGCGAAAGCCUGACGGAGCAAUGCCGCGUGAAUGAUGAAGGCCUUCGGUUGUAAAAUUCUGGUCACCUGGGACGAAAUUUGACGGUACCAGGAGAGGAAGUGACGGCUAACUACGUGCC